rnacentral:rRNA from 1 species
UGUAAGCGUAUACCAAAGUUGUUGCAGUUAAAACGCUCGUAGUCGGAAUUUGGCAGUUCCGGAAGUGUGCACGUCGUGUGCGCACUUUGCGGGGACUGCUUUUGUGGUCUUGCGUAGGAUGAGGCACUUUCAUUAGUGAACGUCCUCACGCAACCACUCCUUACUGUGAGAAAAUCAGAGUGCUCAAAGCAGGCAUUUGCCGUGAAUGCAUUAGCAUGGAAUAAUAGAAUAGGACUCGGUUCUAUUUUGUUGGUUUGUUGGGACUGAGUAAUGAUUAAGAGGGACAGUUGGGGGCAUUUGUAUUCCGGCGCUAGAGGUGAAAUUCUUAGAUUGCCGGAAGACAAACUGCUGCGAAAGCGUCUGCCAAGGAUGUUUUCAUUGA